rnacentral:rRNA from 1 species
AGGAAUUGGCGGGGGAGCACCGCAACGGGAGGAGCGUGCGGUUCAAUUGGAUUCAACGCCGGAAAACUCACCGGGGGCGACGGAGGGAUGAAAGCCAGGCUGAAGACCUUGCCCGAUUCUCCGAGAGGUGGUGCAUGGCCGUCGUCAGUUCGUACCGUAAGGCGUUCUGUUAAGUCAGAUAACGAACGAGACCCUCGCCUUCAGUCGCCACUUCACGAGCGAUCGUGAGAGCACACUGGAGGGAUCGCUGCCGCUAAGGCAGAGGAAGGAGAGGUCUACGGUAGGUCCGUAUGCCCCGAAUCUCCCGGGCAACACGCGCGCUACAAAGGUGGGGACAAUGGGAUCCGACCCCGAAAGGGGAAGGCAAUCCUGAAACCCCAUCAUAGUCUGGAUCGAGGGCUGUAACUCGCCCUCGUGAAAAUGGAUUCCGUAGUAAUCGCGGGUCAACAUCCCGCGGUGAAUGUGCCCCUGCUCUUUGCACACACCGCCCGUCAAGUCAUCCGAGUUGGGUCGGAGUGAGGGUGCCCUCUAUGGGUCGCUCGAACUUCGGUUCAGCAAGGGGGACUAAGUCGUAACAAGGUAACC